CACACACACGCGCGCACGCACACGCACAUGCAAAACCUGCCCUCAUACACAUUCACUUAAAAAUACUUCACUCUCUCUCGUACUCUUCACGCACACAAACACACACACAUACACACAUACACCACAUUUCUAAAAGAAGCCAGCCAGUCACUCUCUCUUCCUCGCAGACAAAGGCAAAACAACUCCCACAGCCUCCAAUAACAGCAUUUAAGACUCUCUUCAGUUCAGCAGCAGACAAGAACUUUUGUCAACACAUCGAACGUCCUGGCCUGCCUCUCUGUUUUGAUCACCAACAGAGAUUCCUAAAACUGGAAACCGUUUUAAUUAUUUUGGAAUUUGCUCAACUGAAGAAUGUUUGCACGAGUGUGUUUGCUAUUAUCAUGGAUUUCUGCAGCUGUUGGUUUUGAUAUAGUCUACAAUACUGAUGAACACGAAACAUCCAACAUUUUUAUCGGGGAUAUUGCAGCCGAUGCCUCAAAGUCACUCUGGAGUACCACAUCAGAGGCACUAACAUUCAUUAUUUUGAAAAACAAAGAAAAUUCUGAUUUAUUCAUUGUGACCAAAGAAGGGAAACUUUACACUGCUCAGCCCCUGGACGCUGAAUCCUUGUGUUUAUAUCAACUUGAGUGUUACAGAACAUUAGAAGUUGCUGUCCGGAAUAAGAAAUCAUUUAUUAAAAUCUUAGACGUAAAGAUUACGAUAAAUGAUGUGAAUGAUAAUGCACCAACGUUUCCUUCCAAACAUAUUAGUCUUCAAUUCUCCGAAAGAGAGAGUGAAGGAGCAAAAAUACCAGUCCCAGCUGCUAGAGACAGAGAUAUCAGUGAACAGAAUUCUUUGAUUAGUUAUGAAUUCAAAGAAAAUUUCAAAGAACCUUUCCAGCUAUCGGUUUCUGAAGAACAUGGUGGGAAUUCUAGGCUUGCUGUCAUUCUAAUGGAAGAAUUAGAUCGAGAAGUGAAAGACACUUACUUUGUACAAGUAAUUGCUAAAGAUGGAGGCACUCCACCAAAAGUAGGUGUUUUAAAUAUUGAGAUAAUUGUCACAGAUGAAAAUGAUAAUGCACCAAUAUUUGCUCAAAAUACCUAUAAUAUUUCACUAAAUAAUACACACCAAACAGACAAACCCAUUGUUAGGUUACAAGCAAGUGAUAUUGAUGCUGGAAGAAAUGGAAAAGUCUCUUACCAUUUCCAUCCCAAAACCAUACCGUUGGCCAAAUUACAUUUCAAAGUAAACAUGACAACAGGAGAAGUAUUCUUGUCAAAUAAUAUCUCAUUUAAUAAGAAACACAAAUAUUUGUUGUAUAUUGAUGCCAGAGAUGGCGGCAGUCCAUCAAUGAGCUCAACAGCCAUUCUACAAAUCAACAUUGAAAAUCAGGAUAACUCGAGCCCAAGUAUAGAACUCAACUUCUUUUCACAGACAAAUGAAGACACGGCCAGCAUUUCUGAAGAUGUUGAUAUUGGUAGCUUUGUAGCAUAUGUGAAGGUCAUUGACAAUGAUAUUGGAAGCAAUGGGCAAGUAAGUUGUCAACUGGAACAUGAUAAAUUUAUUCUUCAGCCACUGGAUGACAAGAAAUAUAAAAUAGUUGUGAAGAAUACCAUAGACAGGGAAGCAAACAGCUACAUUGAUUUUAACAUAUCUUGUCAAGACAGAGGCACUCCUCCAAAGACAGCUGUUAGAAAAAUUUCUAUACAAGUGACAGAUAUCAAUGAUGUAAAACCUCAGUUCAGCCAGGAAAGCUUUCAAUUUUUUACAUAUGAAAAUGGAGAACCAGACUUUCCAAUUGGUCUAAUCAAUGCCACUGAUCCAGAUCUGGGUGCAGGUGGUCACCUGACCUAUUAUCUCAUGAAUUCUACUGAAAAUUUACUUCCUUUUAAAAUUUCCCACUUCGGAUACAUUACAACAACACAGUCACUGGAUAGAGAGAAGCAAGACAGAUACAGAUUGGUAGUUGUGGUCAAAGACAAUGGAACACCCUCAUUGAGAAAUACAGCAAAUGUCAUUGUUGAAAUUAUGGAUAAAAAUGAUAACGUUCCAUAUUUCACUUUUCCUGGAGUUGAUCCAUUCCACCUUAAAGUCCAUUACCAUCCUCAAAGACAAAAAGCCAUCACAACCCUCAGAGCAUACGACAGAGAUAGUCAAUUGAAUUCUUUCCUUCAAUAUGAAAUUCUUGAUGGCAAUGACAAGAAAUUAUUUUCCCUUGACAUGUAUUCUGGAGUCAUGUCUUUUUCUCGCUCUGUUUACAAAGUUGAUGCUGGUUUCUAUAAACUGAAUUUGUCUGUUAAAGAUAGUGGCACUCCAGUUUUGUCAACAACAACUUCAUUAACUUUGAAACUGACAGUCAGCAAUAGUACUUCCAAAUUUUCAACAAGUCUUCACAAACUGUCAACCAGAGAAAUACCUAUCAAUGUGAUGGUUAUUAUACUAGUGGCAGCAGUUAUUGUAUCUAUAACUAUUGUGGUCUCCAUCACAGUGUGCAUUGUGAGGAGGAACCAUCGGAGGGAAAUCCUUUACUGUGAAAGGCGCGAACAGGGUCAGAAAUUUCCGAAUGAAAGAAGACAGUCUGAGUAUAGAUGUAACCCAAUGCCUCCCCAAAGUGACAGUCAAGAAGUUAUAUUAACAACACACCCAGGAAUUAAUCCUGCAGUUUCUCAGGCGACAAUAUCGAGAAAGGAGCUUUACCCUCAAUCAACACAGAAAUGUUCUACAUUACCUUUCAAUCGACAUAACAUCUGCCAUGGAACCACUCAGAUGCCUUUACAUCAAACGAUGACAAUGCCCAGAGACUUCCAAGGAAGAGAAGAAAUGAUUAUAUCAACAAAUUCUUUAAAUGAGAAGCCCAAUAGAUCUUAUGAUACACAUGACUCUAGUUACAAUGAGUGGAACACAGUUCUCUGUGAGAAGUUACCAGGCUGUCGAGAUGAAUCAGACAUUAAGUUGUCUAACCCACCUUUACACCCAAAAAAUGACAACGUUUCUUCUGAGGGCUGCUCGUUUGUAAAUAAUCAAUCUACCAAUCAAUCUACCGCUGACAUCAUUGAUUUGAAACUCGGAAGAAUUAAUCCAACAGACCCUCCCUUGUCACAGAAACCUUGGAAUUUACCAAUGAAAAACAGUUUUAAUUGUUAUUCUAGACCAUUACCACCAAUACCAAAGACGUGAAUAAGUUUGCUUUUCUCCAAAAAGCAAUUUACUAAUAUGGAGAUAUGAAGAGUUAACUGCAAGAGGAUAUUUAUGCUAAAGGAUAUUCCAUAAGGAUAUUCCACAAAAGGAUAUUCCACUAAUGGAUAUUUCACAAAAGGUCACUUUACACCAAAAUGUUUAUAUGUGUAUGAAUCAUCAUCACAAUGUUAUGAAAAUGAUUAAUAUAUUUUUGUAAUAAGAUAUCUCAUGAGAAAAACGAAGCAUGUUUGGGCACAGGUUAACAGAUACCGAAACACAUGCUUGGAUAAAUACAUGACCCACACUUACGCAUACAUAUGCAUAUCACACAUGCACAUGCACAUUUGUGGUCCUAUAUACAUAUGUCUGCAUACACACACAUACACAUACACUCACAUGCUUGUAGUCAUACAUGCAUUUGUCAACACACACAUACCUGUGGUCAUAAACGUAUGUCCACGUACACAUAUACACCUCUUCCUCAAAGUAUUCUAUUUGUUGGUAGCUAAGACACACCAAAACAGCAUUUUUUGCGGAAUGUUUUCGG
rnacentral:misc_RNA from 1 species